AUGCCGGCAAGCAGGGCAGCAGCGUUGCCUCCAGCGCCAGCAUCGAGGAGCCUUACCCCACCCCCGCGCCAUGGACUCGUGCGCGGUAAGAAGCAUGCCAACGAGACCAAGAAGGUGGCCAUGGCUGGGCUCGUUCACCAUUCGUUCAACUUCAGAGCUCAUCAGGUUGAAGGCGCUAAGGUGUUGGAGAUGUGCCUGUACUUGUUGAGUGUUUUAUCUGUAGAGGGCUAUAUUGUGAUUGGUGUAAUAUUGUAUGGUUAUAUUGUGAUUGGUGGAAUGUAA
rnacentral:rRNA from 1 species